UGGAUAAAGAGAUUUCAGCAUUUGGGAGAUGUUCAUUUGCACAAAGAUUCUCAUAGAGAGGUGGAUGAUGUCUCAUAGAAGAAAAGGUAUAUAUAUUUAUUCGAGUGUAGCAAAUUGCCACAUAGGAGAUUGGCACAACGGUUGUUAUAUGAUUAAACAAAUCAUGGAGAUUUGAGAAAGUACCCUCUGUAGAUUUUGAGAGAAACUGAUGCAACCAUUGUACCUGAAGCUGAUGCUUGUCCUCAGGUAAAACUUGAAGUCAUUUUGAACUUCUCUGUUUUGUAAUUUGAACCAUGUUGGGUCUGUUUCCUUCUGGCUAAGAAUCGAUUCAAUCUGAAAUAGGUGUCAACAACCAGUAUUUUGGAAGGA